UACGAAGGGGGGCUAGCGUUGUUCGGAUUUACUGGGCGUAAAAGCGCACGUAGGCGGAUUGGUCAGUUAGGGGUGAAAUCCUGGAGCUCAACUCCAGAACUGCCUUUAAUACUGCCAGUCUCGAGUCCGGAAGAGGUAAGUGGAACUCCUAGUGUAGAGGUGGAAUUCGUAGAUAUUUAGGAAGAACACCAGUGGCGAAGGCGGCUUACUGGUCCGUACUGA
rnacentral:rRNA from 1 species